rnacentral:tRNA from 1 species
GGCCCGUUGGUCAAGUGGUCUAAGACACCGCCCUUUCACGGCGGUUACAGGGGUUCGAAUCCCCUACGGGUCACCA